UACGUAGGGGGCAAGCGUUAUCCGGAUUUACUGGGUGUAAAGGGAGCGUAGACGGCACGGCAAGCCAGAUGUGAAAGCGCGGGGCUCAACCCCGGGACUGCAUUUGGAACUGCUGAGCUAGAGUGUCGGAGAGGCAAGUGGAAUUCCUAGUGUAGCGGUGAAAUGCGUAGAUAUUAGGAGGAACACCAGUGGCGAAGGCGGCUUGCUGGACGAUGACUGACGUUGAGGCUCGAAAGCGUGGGGAGCAAACAGG
rnacentral:rRNA from 1 species